rnacentral:rRNA from 1 species
UACGGGGGGGGCAAGCGUUGUUCGGAAUUACUGGGCGUAAAGAGCGUGUAGGCGGCCACUUAAGUCCUGCGUGAAAUCUUGCGGCUCAACCGCAAGCGGUCGUGGGAAACUGGGUGGCUAGAGUGCGGGAGAGGAGAGCGGAAUUCCUGGUGUAGCGGUGGAAUGCGCAGAUAUCAGGAGGAACACCAAUAGCGAAGGCAGCUCGCUGGGACGUUACUGACACUGAGGCGCGAAAGCGUGGGGAGCGAACAGG